UUCAUUUUAAAAGCUUUCCAUAUGAUCGAUGAAGUGCCCAAGAUUGCUGGGAAUACCUUAACUCAUUCAUCUUUAACAUUUCCUGAAAAGCCUGAAUUUAAGCUCUGUGUGAGUGCUGACACCAUUUUUUAUUUCAUCAGGAAUCUGUCUUUAUUUAGCUUGCAUCUGGGGCUGACAUGACAUAUCAGGACCAGAUGAAGUGGAGUGGAGGAGCCUGGGCCCAACCAGUGGAGCAAAGGCAAUUUGGAAGGAAUUGUGGCUGGCUCCGUUCAAAGGCAUUGGUUUGUUUCUCAAAGGUGUUUGCAGAAGUAACUUGGAUGAAAAGGACUCCUUUAAAACUCCUUUGCAACCUCUCUCAUCAGCCAGCAGAAGUCCUUCUCAUCAAUUCUGGGGCUUUUGCUAGAUCUCAGAACCUGUCACCUGACACAAAAAGUUCAAGCGCAGAUGCAGGCUGUGCGUGAAGACGUCACGCGUCCAGGAGAAAAGUCGGAGGGGUCUCUGGGGCUCCCGGGAGGUUUCUUCUGGGGGGUGAGUCGCGGCCGUGGGAGUGACUGUGGGCUGCAUGUCAUUGCCUCCCAAGCACAAGCGUGUUCAAUAACAUCUGAGGUGCGCACACUUGGACUCAGGGUGAUGCGUGGAGGAGAGACCAGUUCUGAUGCACCAUUUUCAGGGAGAGAAAGACCCAGAGCAGGAAAUGUGGACCUUUUCUCAUUUCAGGGGCAGGAUUCUGCCCCAUCUAGGGUCUCUAGCGUGGAGAGUGAGGUCAGGGAUGCCAACCCCUGGUCACUGCAGUGGCUGUCCACGCUUUAGAGGGGCCACGGUGUGGCUGGAAUCUGAGCGCAAGCUGCCAACUGUCAGUAAACCUGGGGGUAAGGAAGCAGGAACACUCGUCCCCACGCAGCUGCAGAGCACCCAGCAGGCCCUGACGUGGCACCACGUUUAGACCAGGGCAUCAGGGAAUGCAGGAGGGACAGGCUCGGAGCAGCAGGUGGAGGGGCUGCCACGACACUGAGGACGCAGUUGGACAGCAGGGCCCAGAGGAGGUGAAAGCCACUGGGGUUAUGUAACCGGAAGAAAAGAAAGCUGGAAGCAAAUGAAGAAGCAGCCCAGGUGCAAACAGAAGGUGUGUAUGCGUGCAUGUGUGUGUGUGUGUAUGUGCUUGUAUAAGCAUGCAUGCAUGUGUGUGUGUGUUAAGGGAUUUUUUUUCAUAGAAAUAGGAAAGAUUUAUUCAGAAAAGUUAAAAAUAAACAACAAGGUCCUACUGUAUAGCACAGGGAAGUAUAUUCAAUAUUUUGGGAUAAACCGUAAUGGAAAAGAAUAUUAAAAAGAAUGUAUAUAUACGUAUAACUGAGUCACUUUGCUGUACAGCAGAAAUUAACACAACAUUGUAAAUCAACUAUACUUCAAUAAAAAAAUUUUUAAAAAGUUAAA